rnacentral:misc_RNA from 1 species
CCAAUAGCGUAUAUUAAAGUUGCUGCAGUUAAAAAGCUCGUAGUUGAAUUUCGGGACCAAUAUGUCGGUCGUGCUUCGGUACGUACUGUCAUUAUUGGUUUCUCCCUUCUGAAGAACCUUGAUGUCAUUAAUUUGGUGUCUUGGGGAAUCAGGACUGUUACUUUGAAAAAAUUAGAGUGUUUAAAGCAGGCUCGCGCUUGAAUACAUUAGCAUGGAAUAAUGAAAUAGGACGUUUGAUUCUAUUUUGUUGGUUUCUAGGAUCGACGUAAUGAUUAAUAGGGAUAGUGGGGGGCAUUAGUAUUCAAUUGUCAGAGGUGAAAUUCUUGGAUUUAUUGAAGACUAACUACUGCGAAAGCAGUUGCCAAGGAUGUUUUCAUUAAUCAAGAACGAAAGUUAGGGGAUCGAAGACGAUCAGAUACCGUCGUAGUCUUAACCAUAAACUAUGCCGACUAGGGAUCGGAUGAUGUUAAUUUUUUAAUGACUCAUUCGGCGCCUUACG